GCCUUCAAAGUUAUCAGUUCAGCAGAGGAAGCACUGCAGGCAGCUCCUGGGCCCUCGGGUCAGGUUGCAGAUUCAUCACCUAGCUACUUGUUUGUGGUGUUACCAUCUUUUUCUCCCUGACGUAUCUUGGAACUUGACGAAAUCUGAUAUAUUUCUCAACAGUGAGACGUGCCUUUCACCUUCUGCCAUGAUUGUGAGGCCUCCCCAGUCAUGUGGAACUGGCAACCAUGGAAGUCUAGGAUCAAAGAAGGCAGAUCUUCUACUUGCCUGCUUCCCUGAAGAACUGCUUGAAACAGAGUCCAACCUCUCCCCCAUCUAAAAAUCCUUGACAUAUUCAGUUGAAAAAAAUAUAUACUUCUACCAAAAAAAAUAAAACACCUUUUCUUGUGUU